UCUCCUUUAUGUGUGUGCUGUGCUAUUGUCAGCACGUUUCUUUGCUGAAACGUGGAAAGCUCAGUCAUGCUGUCAAGCUGUGUGGCCAGUGCAGCCCACCAAAAUGAUCUCUAGGGCUGGUCUCCAGGAUCCGAAGGCUUGUUUAGUGGCUGUUGCAGUAGUAAGCAGGGAGGUCUUGAUGGAUGAGGGAGGCAGGUGUUCUGAGGUCUCAGUUUAUACCUGGCUCUACUGCAGCACAGCGCUGCCCAAGGCUGCAUUUGCAGCUGCUGGAGCUGCUUCUGUGCUUGAGGUGCUGUGUCUGUAAAUUCAGCACAGAGUGUGAGUGAGGCUGAUCCUCGCUAGAGAAGGGGAAACAAAAAGUUUGAAGAGCAGCUGAAGGUUGUUAACAACACUUUUCACUUCUGUGUUCUCUCCUUUGUUUUGCGAGUCUGUAAUUGAACCCAUAGGGGUGACUCUGCUCUUGGGUGAGAGAAUCUGUGACGUGGGAAUGGAGGAAGAUGGGAGAGACUCAUGGGGAAGGAAGGGUGUGAGAAAGCAAGAGGGAAGAGAGGAACCUUCCCUGGGAUGUGCAGCCAUCACAGCUUGGGCUGCAGGUCAGUGGCUGUGAGCUGACCCAAGACUGCUGUCAACAUAUUGGUGUCCCAAUGCCUGUCCCUUAGCCCUCCGAUCUCUCAUCCUGCACCUCCCUGUGUACUCUCUGCUGCCAGUGGCAAUUGUUUGACCUGCUCCACUUGUUAAAACAAGAGGAAAUUCUUGGUUUUGGCUGGCACCUAUUUCCCUACCAGUUCAGCAGUGUAAAACAGCACAAGUGUGGGUCUGAUGGCAAAAGUAAGCCCUGACAUUGACUGAGCUCUUCCACUGCCUCUCACAGG